rnacentral:rRNA from 1 species
AUGGCUAUAGCUAGUGCUACACUGCUACUGCUCUACUUGGUGCACCCUGCUGAACCAAACCGAGUGCAGGAUCAUGUGGAAGAUGUCGUACUUGACGGGCUUCGUGUGCCACAGAAAGUGCCUCUGAUCUCCUUCAGCCUGGGCACGUCUUUCUCUGCCACCACCACGGAGAACGCACUCCAGUCAAGCGCGUCGUCGAACGGGAGCACAAAGUUGUCGGCGAUGAUCACCGGGACGCACUCGUAG